UUGAUGGCGAGUGGCGAACGGGUGAGUAAUGCAUCGGAACGUACCGAGUAAUGGGGGAUAACUAUCCGAAAGGAUAGCUAAUACCGCAUACGCUCUAAGGAGGAAAGCGGGGGACUUUUUAAGCCUCGCGUUAUUCGAGCGGCCGAUGUCGGAUUAGCUAGUUGGUGGGGUAAAGGCCUACCAAGGCGACGAUCCGUAGCGGGUCUAAGAGGAUGAUCCGCCACACUGGGACUGAGACACGGCCCAG
rnacentral:rRNA from 1 species